GCUGCGAAGCGCGGCGGCAUUGCCCGCGCGAUUGGCGCGCGCGCGCGGCGCCGCCGAUGCCGAUGCCGAUGCCGAUGCCGGCGCGCGGCG
rnacentral:tRNA from 1 species